UNNUCUUCGGACGGAGAGUAAAGUGGCGCACGGGUGAGUAACGCGUGGGUAAUCUACCCCGAGGCUCGGGAUANCCAACCGAAAGGCUGGCUAAUACCGAAUAAUGUCCCUUCACUUAAGUGAGGUGACCAUAGGAGGCUUCUGCUUCCGCCACGGGAUGAGCCCGCGUACCAUUAGCUAGUUGGUAGGGUAAUGGCCUACCAAGGCUUCGAUGGUUAGCUGGUCUGAGAGGACGAUCAGCCACACUGGAACUGAGACACGGUCCAGACUCCUACGGGAGGCAGCAGUGGGGAAUAUUGCGCAAUGGGGGAAACCCUGACGCAGCGACGCCGCGUGAGCGAUGAAGGCCUUCGGGUCGUAAAGCUCUGUCAGGUGGGAAGAACCGUCCAUCGGCUAAUAACCGGUGGAUCUGACGGUACCACCAGAGGAAGCACCGGCUAACUCCGUGCCAGCAGCCGCGGUAACACGGAGGGUGCAAGCGUUGUUCGGAAUCACUGGGCGUAAAGGACGCGUAGGCGGUCCGGUCAGUCGGAAGUGAAAUCCAUCGGCUCAACCGAUGAACGGCUUCCGAUACUACCGGACUUGAGUACGGGAGAGGAAAGCGGAAUUCCCAGUGUGGAGGUGAAAUUCGUAGAUAUUGGGAAGAACACCGGUGGCGAAGGCGGCUUUCUGGACCGAUACUGACGCUGAGGCGUGAAAGCGUGGGGAGCAAACAGGAUUAGAUACCCUGGUAGUCCACGCUGUAAACGGUGAGUACUAGGUGUAGGGGGUACCGACCCCCCCUGUGCCGCAGCUAACGCAUUAAGUACUCCGCCUGGGGACUACGGCCGCAAGGCUAAAACUCAAAUGAAUUGACGG
rnacentral:rRNA from 1 species